rnacentral:lncRNA from 1 species
GCUGUGCCUUGAGGUCCUUUCUCCAGUCAGCAAAGAGGCCCUGCAUGGAGUGGCGGCACCACGCUCCCAGGGGAUGCCAAUACCUCACGAGAGAAAGACCUGAUGCAACCAGCACUGUUCACUGGCUAAUUUAAGAGACAUGCCCAGCCCCCUUCUCGCUGGUAGAGGUUGAUGAUGUCUUGGGAAGGAGGAAGAGCAGUACGCAACGCACGGGCACACAGAAUUCAGCUAAGGAGCUUCCGGUAAGGCUUUUGCUUGUCCUGCUAAAAGGGACAGACAGGUUACCUCCACCCCCACCUCCUCUUCAUACUGCCCUGAAUGCAGAUGUGAGGGUUGCAAAAUGGCUCCAGUAGCUUCCAACAUGAGGCAACAAGCAAGAUGAAAAGCCAACAGCUGAGAAUGGCACAGUAGAAGACCUGAAAAGUACCUGGGUCCCUGAGAGCAUGACUGAACACAUGAAC